UGGCAAUAAUAUUGAACUGGGCACAG
rnacentral:piRNA from 1 species